ACCAAGGUCAUUGACCAAAAUCAGUCCGGCUAGCGCCACCGAGCAGGCUACAUGACUGCGCGAUGUAGAUCGAGUGAGUUUCUUACGAAAUUCAAGGAUUUUGGAGACUGGAUAUUAUUGUGAAAAAUGGUUCAUAAUUAUUACAAAAGUAAAACGAACCAAGGCUCAUGGACAGAAGAUCAAAUGAGAAGAGCGAUGGAGGAAGCGAGUCUUACUACGAUUAGUUCGGCAUCAAAAAAUAUGGUAUCCUAAUUGGAACUCUUCAUUGUCAUUUGAAAUCUGGUGAUGCAUCGAAGAAGAUUGAUAGGUUUCGUCCAGUAUUUUUCAAAAAAACUGGAGCAAAAAAAAUAUGAUCUUGCAGUAGUAAGGGACAAGGUUUUUUAUGGCCUAAAACAGUUCCUAAUUACCAAAUAAGUUGUUUAUGUUAUUUCAUUUAAUUGACCUCAUUAGCAAAAUGCUCAAAUAGAGUAGAUAAACGCUUAAUAAGUGCCUUUUUCACUUUGCCCAAAGUGCAAUUCCACUUUACCCUUGUGAUAAGGGCAAAG